rnacentral:lncRNA from 7 species
AGGGCUGCCUACAGUUAGGCAGUGUCAGCCUGAGCUGUGGUGCAGUUUCAGUGCCCUGUUUGAGGGCUCUGGAAGUUUGAUCUUUGUUUUUGUCUCCAGCGUGGCAGGAUCUGGUUUGUUUCUUGAUGCUAGUCUCAUCUCCGUCCUCUGAAUGGGUCCGUGCUGGCUUUUCUCUGCAUCUGUCUGUGUUGCACUGUUGCUGUCAGUAAGCACAAGCUGGAAAUCACCUACAGAUUGUUUUAAUUUGCACCAAGGACAAAAACAUCCAUCCUCUAUUGAGCGGAGUGCUCCUAGUUUCCAGUUCUACAUUACUUCGUCAGCAGGAUCACAGCUGGGCCUAAAAGGGACACAGAAUGUUCUGAAGAGAUUGGUGCUUCCACUCUGGGCAAUCCUUCAGCCAAGAGCAGCAACUGUCCUAAAAUGUCUCUGAUCUAUGAUGGCAGAGAAAAUCCACUGAGGUUUUUCGUUCCUAAAAGCUGAGUGGUUUGUUCCUACAAAUGUGCUUAUGGAUCAAAAAUGAUGGUGCUCAGGACACAGCUGGAUCAAGCAUAUGAUUUCAUUGUAUCUCAAUUUCUUUGCUUCUCCAUUGUCAUGCACUUUUGCAGUCACUUAAUACCUUGUAGGUUGAUUGUAAAGUGAUUGCAAAAUAGAACAAGCAGGUGGUUUUAAUGGUACUUUGCACUCAUUUUCUCCCUUCAUGUAUCCACAAAUGAACACAGAGCACAAAGAGCUGAAUCAGGGCCCCAAACAUCUUUUAUUAGAGAAGCUUGUUUUUAAUAUGUGCCAAAAGAAAAACAAUUUUUGCUGUUCAUCAUGUUAUAGAGAUUUUCCGUGAUGAUGUACUACAAAGUGACUUACUCAGGAAAGUCAAAUAUGUUCUAAGACAUCCAAAUUGUUGUCCUUUAGUGUCUGCUCUCCAUAAAAUGCCAUGCAAAAGUGUGUCCAUAGUGUUUACCUCAGCCAUUGGUACAGAAGCCUGGACAAAUAUGAAUGAAUUGUAAUGCCAAUGGAAAAAAUAUGAAGGAAGUAUUUUUUUUUUCCUCCCACAUUGUUGUUCUUGAUAAAUGUGUCUAAGGUAUGUGGUUAAUUAGCGGGAUGGUACAGAGAAUAAAAAGGUUCCCUUUAAUCUCUCAACAUUCAUUAUCUGGAAACCAUCCAAGUAAGGAAAUCUCUAUGAACAAGUGUUGUGCUGUCUGUACUGGUAGAUGCAAACAUGGGGUUGUCCAUAACAACUUGACAAGAAAUGUAUGCAGAAGCAGUAAAGAUCGGUAUAAAUGUAGGUGCAUUCCCCAGUCUUAAAGUAACUAAACAGAAAAUAAUUAUUUGGGAAGUGCAUGUAUUCAAAUACUGUAAGGCUGAAAAUAUUGAAAGUGUAUUGUGAAUC